UAGACCUCUCAGUCCAUGGGCUGGGAAGCUGCCAGCCAUGAGCACAGAGGCACGGCCAUUGAAAGAAUUGUGUGGAAGAAGGAAUAAAAGGUUCUUGCAUGCACACCAGCUCUUGCCUCCAAGGACUAAGAAGAAAUGCAGCGGGGACGGUGCCAGGCCCUACAGCAAUGCUUCUUCCUUAUGGUUCUCAGGCUCCCCAACCUGACCCAGGAAGGGCAUGAGAUGGUAGAGGAGCAGGGCUGGUUUGGGAGCCCCUUUAUACUGCCUGUGGC
rnacentral:lncRNA from 1 species